GCAGCCACUUAGAGUGAAUAACGUUAAACUCUCACUAAAUUAUAUAUUUUCAUCUGUUCACAAGUUUCUGGAUUUCUUUCUUUUACAAGUCUAAGACUGAACUUUAUGUUUCCAUGUUUGUUCACAUUCUGUUUAACUCGUUGCUUUGUUGAAGAGUGCUGCAGGCUAAUGAAGCAGACGGGCCGUGAAAAUAUUCCUUCCUACCGUGUGGGGAUGAUGUAAAAAGUUUGAGAAGCACUGGGUCAGAGUAUAACAAACAGCUUGGUUAUGUUCGGGGCGGCUGACAGUAUGAUUGGUGCUUUGUUCAGCGAUGCAUCACCUCAAAGAAGCACAAGAUUAUGUGACUGAUGUUUGUUGUUGAGUCUCUGGUGCAACACUGUGACUCACCUUGUUUCCUUCACUUUUCAGAGCUCCAGGGAUAGGUGUGAGCUGGAGUGUAGGCAGGUUUUCUGCCUGGACAGCUGUUUGAACCUCUGGGUGACAUCAGACUGUACAAAUAAAAUGUAAAAAAGGCUUGAACAGUGACUCAUCUGCCUCUCAACUCUUCAUCCUCCUCUCGUGCCUCACUAACCCUCUGAGCAUGUCCGCCACCUCCGUUCUCUCCGUUCUCUUCAGCCACCAGUAACAUAGUUUCCACUGGUCAACCCAACCAGUGGUGAUUGUCACUGGACCCUGACUGAUCCAGUAUAUCUCAUUCUUGAUGAGCCUCAUAUUUGAUUUGAUGCCGUUCCACACUCAGCACCUUCAUCUAGACUUUGGACUGGGAACCAGCGGUACCCUGACUUGUGUCCAUUUACUUAUUCAAAUGCAUCACAUUUUGCUAUUAAAGCAGACUUCCCCUACUCGAUGCUGUAAGUAAACAAACCACAGAGUCAAAAAGACGAAUAAAGCAGCGUGCGCGUGUUUUGAUAAACCGCCUUACCUGAAAUCUGUUGACCAGUGAGUAAUGUCACAAUGACCAAGACCAAUGGUCUUGAUGGAGCCCUGUGACAAACUGGCCACUGUGAGCCUCUCACCCUGGACAGCUGGGAAAGUCCCGCCCCUGCACCCUGAUCUGGAUAAAUAGAACCAGAUGAUUGGAUGGAUGGAUCCAAGGUUAAUGUAUGAAGUUAAAUAACUGCUGUCAAACUGAAAGAAACACCUG